GCAAGUCGAGCGGAAACGAGAAGUAGCUUGCUACUUCGGCGUCGAGCGGCGGACGGGUGAGUAAUGCCUAGGAAAUUGCCCUGAUGCGGGGGAUAACCAUAGGAAACGAUGGCUAAUACCGCAUAACGCCUUCGGGCCAAAGAGGGGGACCUUCGGGCCUCUCGCGUCAGGAUAUGCCUAGGUGGGAUUAGCUAGUUGGUGAGGUAAUGGCUCACCAAGGCGACGAUCCCUAGCUGGUCUGAGAGGAUGAUC
rnacentral:rRNA from 1 species